UUCCUUUUUCCUUCAGACCAUUUUCAGAAAAAAAAAAUCUCUUCGUCUCCUAGCUACGAUAACUAAUCGAAUCAAGCCUUUGAUUCGAGAUCUUUGAUUUGUUUUCCAAAAAACCAGACCUAAUCGAAUCAAGCGAAGCAAUCCGUUGAGGCUGGAUAAGGAGAGAAACCAGUUGGGAUUUGCGAUAGAGGACAUAAUUUUUUUGGUUGGGUCCUUUGAAUGAUAGUGUGGACAUAUGCAACUUACUACUAUGAAAAACACUGGACAGUGUACUGCUUCCACGAAUGUAGGACCUUAACCUGAACCCGCCAAGUGCUUUUGUACGGCUUGACAUCAGCGAGGUUCUUUGUUUACGUGUGAAGAAGUCUAUAUUGGUGGGAUUUUAUCACUCUGCUCUGAUCUCCUGAUCUCCUAGAUGAUCUAAAGGUCGGCCUGUAUAGAUAGAAAACAUUAUAUUAUAACUAUGUUAUUGUUACGACUAUUCUGUUAAAAUUAAUUUAAUGAACAUAUCAUAGAUCUCAUGUUUAAGCAUACAUCAUCUCAUAUUAUAUCUUACACUCCGAUUAAUAUUUAUACUAAAAUACGAUUUAAUAUUAUAGGUCAUUUUUAA